rnacentral:rRNA from 1 species
ACGUAGGGUGCGAGCGUUAAUCGGAAUUACUGGGCGUAAAGUGUGCGCAGGCGGCAGAGCAAGUCGAGUGUGAAAGCCCCCGGCUCAACUGGGGAGGGUCACGCGAUACUGAUCGACUCGAAGGCAGGAGAGGGUAGUGGAAUUCCCGGUGUAGUGGUGAAAUGCGUAGAUAUCGGGAGGAACACCAGUGGCGAAGGCGACUACCUGGCCUGUUCUUGACGCUGAGGCGCGAAAGCUAGGGUAGCAAACGGGA